GUUCGAUCAUGGCUCAGGAUGAGCGCUGGCGGCGUGCCUAAUACAUGCAAGUCGAACGAGGUGCUUGAGUAGCAAUACGAGAGUAUCCUAGUGGCGAACGGGUGAGUAACGCGUUGGUGACCUACCCCAAAGUGUGGGAUAACAGUUCGAAAGGACUGCUAAUACCGCAUGUGGUUAUUGGAUUUAGAAACUGAUAGCUAAAGGAGCAAUUCGCUUUGGGAGGGACCUGCGUCCCAUCAGCUAGUUGGUGAGGUAAUGGCUCACCAAGGCUACGACGGGUAGGGGACCUGAGAGGGUGACCCCCCACAAUGGAACUGAAACACGGUCCAUACACCUACGGGUGGCAGCAGUAGGGAAUAUUGCACAAUGGGCGAAAGCCUGAUGCAGCAACGCCGCGUGUGCGAUGAAGGCCUUCGGGUCGUAAAGCACUUUUCUGAGGGAUGAGCAAGGACAGUACCUCAGGAAUAAGUCUCGGCUAACUACGUGCCAGCAGCCGCGGUAAAACGUAGGAGGCAAGCGUUAUCCGGAUUCACUGGGCGUAAAGCGCGUGCAGGCGGUUCGGUAAGUUGGGCGUGAAAUCUCCUGGCUUAACUAGGAGAGGUCGUUCAAUACUACCGGACUUGAGAGUGAUAGAGGAAGAUGGAAUUCCCGGUGUAGUGGUGAAAUGCGUAGAUAUCGGGAGGAACACCAGUGGCGAAAGCGAUCUUCUGGAUCAUUUCUGACGCUCAGACGCGAAAGCUAGGGUAGUAAACGGGAUUAGAGACCCCGGUAAUCCUAGCCGUAAACGAUGUAAACUUGGCGUCGGUGGCUUAAACUCCAUCGGUGCCGCAGCUAACGCGAUAAGUUUACCGCCUGGGGACUACGAUCGCAAGAUUAAAAC
rnacentral:rRNA from 1 species